rnacentral:rRNA from 1 species
GUGAAUGCUUUGGGGUGGGGUGACUGCGUACCUUUUGUAUAAUGGGUCAGCGACUUAUAUUCUGUAGCAAGGUUAACCGAAUAGGGGAGCCGGAGGGAAACCGAGUCUUAAUUGGGCGUUAAGUUGCAGGGUAUAGACCCGAAACCCGGUGAUCUAGCCAUGGGCAGGUUGAAGGUUGGGUAACACUAACUGGAGGACCGAACCGACUAAUGUUGAAAAAUUAGCGGAUGACCUGUGGCUGGGGGUGAAAGGCCAAUCAAACCGGGAGAUAGCUGGUUCUCCCCGAAAGCUAUUUAGGUAGCGCCUCGUGAAUUCAUCUCCGGGGGUAGAGCACUGUUUCGGCUAGGGGGCCAUCCCGGCUUACCAACCCGAUGCAAACUGCGAAUACCGGAGAAUGUUAUCACGGGAGACACACGGCGGGUGCUAACGUCCGUCGUGAAGAGGGAAACAACCCAGACCGCCAGCUAAGGUCCCAAAGUCAUGGUUAAGUGGGAAACGAUGUGGGAAGGCCCAGACAGCCAGGAUGUUGGCUUAGAAGCAGCCAUCAUUUAAAGAAAGCGUAAUAGCUCACUGGUCGAGUCGGCCUGCGCGGAAGAUGUAACGGGGCUAAACCAUGCACCGAAGCUGCGGCAGCGAACGUAUCACCCAAGACAACUUUACGGAGUUGACGAUUGACGGAGCGAAGCGACGUCAAAGCGUUCAUUAAAGUCGAGUUGGCUUAGGGAUACGUUCGUUGGGUAGGGGAGCGUUCUGUAAGCCUGUGAAGGUGUGUCGUGAGGC